CCUACGUGUGGCAGCAGUGAGGAAUAUUGGUCAAUGGGCGUAAGCCUGAACCAGCCAAGCCGCGUGAGGGAUGAAGGUUCUAUGGAUCGUAAACCUCUUUUAUAAGGGAAUAAAGUCUGGGACGUGUCCUGUUUUGAAUGUACCUUAUGAAUAAGCAUCGGCUAACUCCGUGCCAGCAGCCGCGGUAAUACGGAGGAUCCGAGCGUUAUCCGGAUUUAUUGGGUUUAAAGGGUGCUUAGGCGGCCUUUUAAGUCAGCGGUGAAAGUCUGUGGCUCAACCAUAGAAUUGCCGUUGAAACUGGCAGGCUGGAGUAUGUGUGAGGCAGGCGGAAGGCGUGGUGUAGCGGUGAAAUGCUUAGAUAUCACGCAGAACCCCGAGUGCGAAGGCAGCCUGCCAAGCCAUGACUGACGCUGAUGCACGAAAGCGUGGGGAUCAAACAGGAUUAGAUACCCGGGUAGUC
rnacentral:rRNA from 1 species